GGUCUGUUCUUCUCGAACCGGCAGGCGGCUCCGCCGGCGCUUCUAAUCACCGGCCGCGGCUCGGGCAGCUCGCCGCGCCCCGCAACCAGUCCCGGGGACCUUGGUCAGCUCGCGGACACUGACGGCUCUCGGACAGGCGUGCGGGCCCGCCCGCCGGCUCCCGGGGCAGCUCCUGCCGCGGCCGCGGUCCCCGGCUGCCUCCUGCCGUAGUGAGCGCCCGGCGGACGCCGCAUCCGUCCCGGCGCCGCGACCAGGGAGGCGCGCGGAGAGCCCGUUGCCACCCCGCGCGCCCAGCCCAUCUGCUCCCUUCACCCGCCUUCUUCCCCCGCCUCCGCUCUGGGAGGGGGAGCCCCGUGCGACCUCAGGCCUCCCCUCGGGGUCUGCGCCCCAUCCUGCCGUCACACACACAGAUCGGCUCCCGGGAGGAGCAGGGAGCGGCCGCAGCGGCGAGUCGAAGCCCAAAGAGCAGUGUACCUGAUGCCUGCAGAAAAGGAGGUGCUGAAAUGAACAGAACUGCUGGCGUGAGCUGGGACUUGCUCUUGUGUGGUUUACACCGCUGUGGUCUACAGUGCUGUGGACACUUGGCUGGAAUUUGUGGAGGGUCCCUAUGAAAAAAAGGAGCGCUUUGGCCCUUCCCUGUGGUUAGCAGAUGGUGUGUCCAGACUGUUCACAUCUGCUCCGUGCCUGUUUGUUCUCGAUCACUGAUGCUGCUGUUCUGUGGCUAGGUUUCUCGAGGAAGAAUCCCAGCUCAGCCAUCACAUCCUCAAGGAAGCCUGCUUGAUCUCUCCACCUGUCCAACUCACCAGGACAAGUUCCUUUGGGAUAAGCUCUCAUCAGACAGCGUUCCCAUGCUUCUUGAGACGAUCUCAUCUUAUAAGCUUUCCCCACAUUUGUAUAACUAAUGUCUGACUCUGUCAUUGUAUUACAAUACAAGCUCCA